rnacentral:rRNA from 1 species
UGGGUAUCUGCCCUUUGGCCUGGAAUAACACGAGGAAACUUGUGCUAAUACUGGAUAAGUCUUAACGGAGAAAGCUUUAUGCACCAAUGGAUGAGCCCGCACUUGAUUAGUUUGUUGGUAGGGUAAUGGCCUACCAAGACUGUGAUCAAUAGCUGAUUUGAGAGGAUGAUCAGCCACAUUGGGACUGAGACACGGCCCAAACUCCUACGGGAGGCAGCAGUGGGGAAUCUUGCACAAUGGAGGAAACUCUGAUGCAGCGAUGCCGCGUGAGUGAAGAAGGCCUUUGGGUUGUAAAGCUCUUUCGUCGGGGAAGAAAAUGACUGUACCCGAAUAAGAAGGUCCGGCUAACUUCGUGCCAGCAGCCGCGGUAAUACGAAGGGACCUAGCGUAGUUCGGAAUUACUGGGCUUAAAGAGUUCGUAGGUGGUUGAAAAAGUUGGUGGUGAAAUCCCAGAGCUUAACUCUGGAACUGCCAUCAAAACUUUUCAGCUAGAGUUUGAUAGAGGAAAGCAGAAUUUCUAGUGUAGAGGUGAAAUUCGUAGAUAUUAGAAAGAAUACCAAUUGCGAAGGCAGCUUUCUGGAUCAAUACUGACACUGAGGAACGAAAGCAUGGGUAGCGAAGAGGAUUAGAUACCCUCGUAGUCCAUGCCGUAAACGAUGUGUGUUAGACGUUGGA